rnacentral:rRNA from 1 species
CACUAUCCUUAGCCCUAAACAUUAACCGUACGUUACACAACCGCUCGCCCGGGUACUACGAGCCCCAGCUUAAAACCCAAAGGACUUGGCGGUGCUUUAGACCCCCCUAGAGGAGCCUGUUCUGGAACCGAUAGUCCCCGUUCAACCUCACCCUUUCUUGUAUUUUUCCGCCUAUAUACCGCCGUCGCCAGCUUACCCUGUGAAGGCCCUCGUAGUAAGCACAAUCAGAACGUUCUCAGCACGUCAGGUCGAGGUGUAGCGUAUGAAAGGGAAAGAAAUGGGCUACAUUUGCUGCCCCAGCAAACACGGACUGUUCCCUGAAACUGGGUACACGAAGGAGGAUUUAGCAGUAAGGAGGGAUUAGAGUGCUCUCCUGAAGCAAGGCUCUGAAGCACGCACACACCGCCCGUCACCCUCCCCGUCAUCUCAUAUGCCAUCCUUAAUACUACGAACAACCCCCCAAGGGGAGGUAAGUCGUAA